UAAUUCUUGGUGUUUAAAGAUUUAAGGUAAAUACACUAAAUAGUAACCAUCUUUAGUGGUUAAACCUUAUUUAGGUAACAAUACUGCGGGAUUGUUCCCAUGGGAAAAUGACUAAU
rnacentral:rRNA from 1 species